GCCAGGCUUAAGGAAAAUGAUGGAUUUUCUGCAAGACAAAGGAGCUGAGGUUCUGAAGACCCCUGGGUCAACUUCCUGACAAGAUACACGAUCUCCCCAACAACCUGUCCCCAAUGCACGCAGCCUCUUGUUAGUUAUACCACGACUUGUCCCAAGGCACACGGCCCCCUCCUUUAAAACCCCGUGAUCUCCCUUAGAGGGAUGAUUUGAGGCAGCUACUCCUGUUCUCCUGACAAGACGUCUGUGGUUCCUCUCUUCCUUGGCAACCCUCAUUGUCUCCAUAAUUGGAUCUUUCUGUGAUGGGCAACUGGACCCAGAUGAAAACAAUGUGGGAGGGCUAAAGCCCCCUCAAGCCACCACACCUUGGCACGAGCAUUGCCCCAGGGUCACAGGAACAGGACGGACCCCUAAGUCCUUCUCGCCUCCCACCUGGCAGUGUGCCUCUUGCGCCCCCUAUGGAUGGAGUCUACCAUAUCUGCACCGUCUCGGCCUCAGCAUUUCAAAGGAUUUGUGGCUGAUACAUGUGACUCCCCUUUAAGAAUAAGGACUUUUGGAAGGUAAGGACUCUCUCCCACCUGUCUGCAUGUAAUGGUGACCUUGAGAUCCAGGAGGCUUGGAGCCACAGGAUUUCCCAAAGAUCAGGCAGGCUUUUUCUGGAGUGCAGAAGAAGCUUCCGAGUCCCUUCUCCUGGUCUGCUUGUCCCCUGCUGGCUGGGACCUUGGACUUGCCACCUGAUUCUGCUUCUUGCCGUCACCCCUGGUGUGACAUGGUGUUGCCUGCUGGUUUGGGUUUGGCUUCUUCUAUCUUGAACAACAGCCUGGAUUCAUACAUACCUCACACUAUACACCAAAAUAGACUCCAAGUAGAUCAAAGAUUUACCUGUCUAAAAAAAAACUAUAAAAGUAAUUGAAGAAAGCACGGACAAAUUCCUUUACCACUUUGGCAGGGGAAUAUCCUUUCUAAUCAUCACUCAAGAUCCAGAAGCCAUAGAAGAUUGCUUCAUUCAGCUAUAAAAAAUAAAUUAAAAACAACCCAAGUGCCCAUCAAUACAUAAGUGGAUUAAUAAAAUAUGGUAUG